UAGGAUUUACAUAUCUAGGAACCAAGGGGUAGAAAUAAGAAUGCUUCCUCUGAACAUUAUCCCUAGCAAUCCAAUAACUGGAUUUUUGUCUUCCAUCCUUACCACUUCAGUUUCUGCUGGUCUAGACAUCUGGGUUCCAAAAGAAGAAUGCAUCUCCCAGGAGACAUGACAAUGAUUCCAUUCAACAGGAAGUUGAGACUGCCACCUGAACACUUUGGGCUCCUCAUGCCUCUGAAUCAACGGGCAAAGAAGAGAGUUAUAGAUCCUAACCACCCAGGAGAAAUUCGGUGGCCACUACACAAACAGAGAUGUAUUAAUAGUAAUUAAAUUUAUCAGCUUUUCUGACUCUGCGGCCAGGUGUUUGUAUUUAACUCCACGGUGAGGAGACUCAUCUUCUGACGGACCUAACCUAUACCAUCAAGGUCAGAGGCAACAAGAAAUGGCAUGCAUUUCAGUUUAUUGUUCUGUGGCUCCAGCUUGUAUAUUUUAACUCUAGAUUUUUUUUUACUUUCCCCACUUUACAAUCAUCUUCCCUUUCCAACUACCUUCCUUGUGGACUUCAAGCUCCAGCACCACAAGCAAAGACAAAAACCUUGCGGAAACUAUUUAACUAACUCCCACAAUUGCAUAAGGGAUCUAAAUGAAAAUAUUUCUGCAGUGAACCAGUUCUAUUGUUUUAAAUAUCACCCUUAUUAAAGAGAGCUUUGACACUUGUAUUGUUAUCAAAUACGAAAGGCUCCAAAUGGCUUUUAUUAAGAGUCAUGAUCCUAAGAACAGAAGGGAGAUCCCUGUUGCUUUGACUUCUUGCUGUCCUCCUGCUAUUUGGCUCAAAAUGCAAACUCAGUUAUGAGAAGUACAUAGAAGAACAGGUAAACUAAAGCCUGGGCUUUUUCACCAGAGGAUGUGGAAAAGAGGCUUCAGGAAAUUGAGAAGUAUUAUGGAGAUUGCAAAAAUGAGGGAGCUGAAGAAAGAGUUAGAAUGACAGUGAAUGUGAGAAGAGAGAGAGAUGAAUACCACGAAGUUGCGUAUGUACUGCUGGACUAUACCCUGAACUGAGCAUGUAAACAUCUGACCACAGAUGGUAUAAUAAGGCUUUGAAAACUAAGCUACAAUAAAGACCAUCACCCAGGCCAAAAAUUGCUACUUGGAAAUGCACACACAGACUGAUCCAAAUAGCAUUGAAAACACUUAAAGAAAUGGUGCAGACAUUGGAGUCACAAUCCAAAGAAGGCAGAUCAGAGUUUGUUCCAUAAGCCUGAAUAGGUUGAUUGCUUAAUAUAAGAAGAAAAUCAACCUUUUUCUUAUGAUUUAAGACAUAAUCAGAGUCUCAUAACAUAUUCUCAAAAUGCCCAGGAUAUAAUUUAAAAUUAUUUGGCAUAUGAGAAACCAGUGUGAUCGUCUCUUAACUCUUAAAGAAAAAGACAAUUAAAAAUAUCACAAUCAAAAUGACAGGAAUGUUGUAUUUAUCAGAUAAAGACAUUAAAGAGAUAUUAUAACCAUGCUCUAACAGGCAAAUGAAAAGACUCAUAAUGAAUAGAAAAAUAGAAGGUCUCAGCAAAGAGAAAGAAUAUAUGAAGAUGAAAAAUGGAAAUUUUAGAACUGGACAAUGUGACAGUCCAAAGAGAAAAUUCACUGGAUGGACUAAAUAGGAUAAUGGAGAUAACAGAGGAAAAGAGGCAGAUGACUUGAAUACCGAUCAUGAGAAAUUAACUAUUUCAAAGAAGAGAGUAAAAAGAGACUUAAAAAUAAAAUGAACAGAGCCUCUGAGUCCUGUGAAACAAUGUCAAAAAGCCUAAUAUUGGUGUCAUCUGAACCACAGAAGGAGGAAGAAAGUAUGAGAAAAAAUAUCUAAAGAAAAAUAGCCAGAAACUUCCUUAAUUUGGCGAAAGAUAAAAUCUUAAAGAUGCCUGAGGAGGCUCAGGAAACUCUAAGGAGAAGAAGCUACAAAAAAUCUACACUCUAAAACUUCUGAAAUUAAAAAACAAAGAAAAAAUUUUUGAAUGCACCCAGAAACUCAAUACAAAUGGAGAAUUCUGAUUUGAAUACUGUAUAUUUUAUAUAAGGAAACAUGGUAGUUAAGGGGAAGUGGAACAACAUUUUUUAAGUGAUGCAAAAAAUGAUUCUAUAUUCAGAAAUCUUUAUCCAGUAAAAAUAUUCUUGAUAAAUGAAAAUCAAAUAAAGAUAUUCCUGAUGAAACU
rnacentral:lncRNA from 10 species